UGGGGAAUUUCGGACAAUGGGCGCAAGCCUGAUCCAGCAAUGCCGCGUGCAGGAUGAAGGCCUUCGGGUUGUAAACUGCUUUUGUACGGAGCGAAAAGGUCUGCCCUAAUACGGUGGGCUCAUGACGGUACCGUAAGAAUAAGCACCGGCUAACUACGUGCCAGCAGCCGCGGUAAUACGUAGGGUGCGAGCGUUAAUCGGAAUUACUGGGCGUAAAGCGUGCGCAGGCGGUUAUAUAAGACAGAUGUGAAAUCCCCGGGCUCAACCUGGGACCUGCAUUUGUGACUGUAUAGCUAGAGUACGGUAGAGGGGGAUGGAAUUCCGCGUGUAGCAGUGAAAUGCGUAGAUAUGCGGAGGAACACCGGUGGCGAAGGCAAUCCCCUGGACCUGUACUGACGCUCAUGCGCGAAAGCGUGGGGAGCAAACA
rnacentral:rRNA from 1 species